UACGGGGGGAGCAAGCGUUGUUCGGAUUUACUGGGCGUAAAGGGCGGGUAGGCGGCCAUCGCAAGUCAGUUGUGAAAUCUCCGGGCUUAACUCGGAAAGGUCAACUGAUACUGUGCGGCUAGAGUGCAGAAGGGGCAACUGGAAUUCUCGGUGUAGCGGUGAAAUGCGUAGAUAUCGUAAGGAAGACCAGUGGCGAAGGCGGGUCUCUGGACAGUUCCUGACGCUGAGGCACGAAGGUCAGGGGAGCAAACGGG
rnacentral:rRNA from 1 species